rnacentral:rRNA from 1 species
ACAUCCAGCGAACUUGGCAGGAGAUGCCUUGGUGCCUUCGGGAACGCUGAGACAGGUGCUGCAUGGCUGUCGUCAGCUCGUGUUGUGAAAUGUUGGGUUAAGUCCCGCAACGAGCGCAACCCUUAUCCUUUGUUGCCAGCGAUUCGGUCGGGAACUCAAAGGAGACUGCCGGUGAUAAACCGGAGGAAGGUGGGGAUGACGUCAAGUCAUCAUGGCCCUUACGAGUAGGGCUACACACGUGCUACAAUGGCGCAUACAAAGAGAAGCGACCUCGCGAGAGCAAGCGGACCUCAUAAAGUGCGUCGUAGUCCGGAUCGGAGUCUGCAACUCGACUCCGUGAAGUCGGAAUCGCUAGUAAUCGUGGAUCAGAAUGCCACGGUGAAUACGUUCCCGGGCCUUGUACACACCGCCCGUCACACCAUGGGAGUGGGUUGCAAAAGAAGUAGGUAGCUUAACCUUCGGGAGGGCGCUUACCACUUUGUGAUUCAUGACUGGGGUGAAGUCGUAACAAGGUAGGCGUAGCGAG